CGCACAUUGCGCCCCCUGGUAUUCCGGGGGGCAUGCCUGUCCGAGCGUCAUUGCAACCCUCAAGCCUGGCUUGGUAUUGGACGUCGCCCCUCGCGGGGCGUGUCUGAAAAACAGUGGGUGUCCGGUGUGACUUUGGGCGUAGUAAAUUCUCCCCCGCUCUGAAAGUCCCCCCGUGGUGCCCAGAACUCCUCAAUGAAUUGACCUCGGAUCAGGUAGGGAUACCCGCUGAACUUAA
rnacentral:misc_RNA from 1 species